UACGUAGGGGCCUAGCGUUGUCCGGAUUUAUUGGGCGUAAAGAGCUCGUAGGCGGUUUGGUAAGUCGGGUGUGAAAUCUCCACGCUCAACGUGGAGGGGCCACCCGAUACUGCCAUGACUCGAGUCCGGUAGGGGAGUGUGGAAUUCCCGGUGUAGCGGUGAAAUGCGCAGAUAUCGGGAGGAACACCAGUGGCGAAGGCGGUGGUCUGGGCCGGCACUGACGCUGAGGAGCGAAAGCGUGGGGAGCAAACAGG
rnacentral:rRNA from 1 species